rnacentral:rRNA from 1 species
CCUACGGGAGGCAGCAGUGGGGAAUAUUGCGCAAUGGGGGAAACCCUGACGCAGCAACGCCGCGUGAGUGAGGAAGGACUUCGGUCUGUAAAGCUCUGUUAAUGUGGAAAAAUGGUAGUUGGUCUAAUAGGCCGAUUAUUUGAUGGUACACAUAGAGGAAGCACCGGCUAACUUCGUGCCAGCAGCCGCGGUAAUACGAAGGGUGCAAGCGUUGUUCGGAUUUAUUGGGCGUAAAGCGCGCGUAGGCGGACCUGCAAGUCAGAUGUGAAAUCUCGGGGCUCAACCUCGAAACUGCGUCUGAAACUACAGGUCUAGAAUCUUGGAGGGGGAAGGGGAAUUUCUCAUGUAGGGGUAAAAUCCGUAGAUAUGAGAAGGAACACCAGAGGCGAAGGCGCCUUCCUGGACAAGUAUUGACGCUGAGGCGCGAAAGCGUGGGGAUCAAACAGGAUUAGAUACCCUGGUAGUCCACGCUGUAAACGAUGAAUACUAGAUAUUGCAGGAUUUGACCCCAGCAGUGUCGUAGCUAACGCGUUAAGUAUUCCGCCUGGGAAGUACGGUCGCAAGACUAAAACUCAAAGGAAUUGACGGCUGAGAGNGCGAGACGACGACGAGGGAGGAGG